GCUAGGCGCGGUGACGUGUGCCUGUAGUCCCAGCUAUUCGGGAGGCUGAGGCUGGAGGAGCUCUUGAGUCCAGGAGUUCUGGACUGUAGUGCGCUAUGCUGAUCGGGUGUCCACACUAAGUUCGGCAUCAAUAUGGUGACCUCCUGGGAGCAGGGACCACCAGGUUGCCUAAGGAGGGGUGAACCAGCCCAGGUCGGAAACGGAGCAGGUCAAAACUCCGGUGCUGAUCAGUAGUGGGAUUGCACCUGUGAAUAGCCACUGCACUCCAGCCUGGGCAACAUAGUGAGACCCUGUCUCUU
ensembl:misc_RNA Metazoa_SRP Metazoan signal recognition particle RNA